AUGUGUAGCAGGAGGAGGUCCGUCGCCUACUUCGCCCACGGCAGCCACCGGCUGCUCCCAGCGGACGCUGAUGACGACGGCGAGUUCACGUGCGACGGCUGUCUGGUUGCCGGCGCCGGGCCCCGGUACCUGUGCGGCCACCCCGGCUGUGGCUUCAAGCUCCACGAGGUAUGCGCGCGCAGCUUCCCCAGGACGCUCAAGUCCAUCGUCCACUCCCAGCACAGGCUGAAACAGCGCGAGAGCGCCGCCGCCGCCACCGCGGACCACGGCACCGGCGGCGGCAACGUCAGGUGCGAGGUGUGCGGGGAGGACGUGAAGGGCGCGUGCUACGGCUGCAGCACCGGUGCGUGCGCCUCCGCGACAGUCGUCGUGCACCCGCUCUGCGUCCGCCUGCCGCCCGUGGCGCGGGGUCCGGCCGUGGCGCACCCCUGCGGCCACGACGCGUGGCUCGUCAAGAAGUCGGAUGGCGGCGUGGCGUCCAUGUGCGCGGCGUCGACGUGGCGUGGAGAUUCUCUAGAACAUGUUUUCCGCGAUUGA
rnacentral:rRNA from 1 species